GACGAACGCUGGCGGCGUGCCUAAUACAUGCAAGUUGAGCGCUCAGUUUUUAUCCUAGUUUCCUACACCAUAGCCUGUGAGUUGCGAACGGCUCAGUAACACUUAGCUUUCCUGCCUGGUAGCGGGUUUUAACUCUUGUAAUCGUUCCCUAUUACCACAUUAUAUUCAUUUUUUCAUUUUGAUUGAUUUAAAUGUGUAAUUUCACCACUACCCGAUGUUCCUGCGUUUUAUUAGCUAGUAGGUGAGGUAACGGAUCAACUAGGCGACGAUACAUAGCCGACCUGAGAGGGGGAUAGGCCACAAUGGGACUGAGACACGGCCCAGACUCCUACGGGAGGCAGCAGUAGGGAAUCUUAGGCAAUGGACGAAAGUCUGACCGAGCAACGCCGCGUGAGUGAAGAAGGUUGUCGGAUCGUAAAGCUCUGUUGGAAGAGAAGAACGGGGGUGAGAGUGGAAAGUUCACAAAGUGACGGUAUCUUACCAGAAAGGGACGGCUAACUACGUG
rnacentral:rRNA from 1 species